rnacentral:rRNA from 1 species
UACGAAAGGGGCUAGCGUUGCUCGGAUUUACUGGGCGUAAAGGGCGCGUAGGCGGACAGUUUAGUCAGAGGUGAAAGCCCAGGGCUCAACCUUGGAAUUGCCUUUGAUACUGGCUGUCUUGAGUACGGGAGAGGUGAGUGGAACUCCGAGUGUAGAGGUGAAAUUCGUAGAUAUUCGGAAGAACACCAGUGGCGAAGGCGACUCACUGGCCCGAUACUGACGCUGAGGCACGAAAGCGUGGGGAGCAAACAGG